rnacentral:rRNA from 1 species
UACGGAGGGAGCUAGCGUUGUUCGGAAUUACUGGGCGUAAAGCGCGCGUAGGCGGCUUUGUAAGUUAGAGGUGAAAGCCCGGGGCCCAACUCCGGAACUGCCUUUAAGACUGCAUCGCUUGAAUCCGGGAGAGGUGAGUGGAAUUCCGAGUGUAGAGGUGAAAUUCGUAGAUAUUCGGAAGAACACCAGUGGCGAAGGCGGCUCACUGGCUCGUAACUGACGCUCAUGCACGACAGCGUGGGGAUCAAACAGG